rnacentral:rRNA from 1 species
CGGGUGAGUAACACGUGGAUAACCUACCUAUAAGACUGGGAUAACUUCGGGAAACCGGAGCUAAUACCGGAUAAUAUUUUGAACCGCAUGGUUCAAAAGUGAAAGACGGUCUUGCUGUCACUUAUAGAUGGAUCCGCGCUGCAUUAGCUAGUUGGUAAGGUAACGGCUUACCAAGGCAACAUGCAUAGCCGACCUGAGAGGGUGAUCGGCCACACUGGAACUGAGACAUGGUCCAG